GACGAACGCUGGCGACGUGCUUAACACAUGCAAGUCGAACGGAAAGGCCCUGCUUUUGUGGGGUGCUCGAGUGGCGAACGGGUGAGUAACACGUGAGUAACCUGCCCUUGACUUUGGGAUAACUUCAGGAAACUGGGGCUAAUACCGGAUAGGAGCUCCUGCUGCAUGGUGGGGGUUGGAAAGUUUCGGCGGUUGGGGAUGGACUCGCGGCUUAUCAGCUUGUUGGUGGGGUAGUGGCUUACCAAGGCUUUGACGGGUAGCCGGCCUGAGAGGGUGACCGGCCACAUUGGGACUGAGAUACGGCCCAGACUCGUACGGGAGGCAGCAGUGGGGAAUGUUGCACAAUGAACGGAAGCCUGAAGCAGCCACGACGCGAGCGGGAUGACGGCCUUCGGGUUGUAAACCGCUUUCGCCUGUGACGAAGGAUGAGUGACGGUAAUGGGUAAAGAAGCACCGGCUAACUACGUG
rnacentral:rRNA from 1 species